rfam:Ensifer sp. LCM 4579 contig_1, whole genome shotgun sequence.
CGAAUGGGGUGAGCGAAUACCCCACGAGGCGUCAUGCCGGAAUUCGCGUCCAUCAUAAACAAGGACGUCGUAUCAUG